rnacentral:misc_RNA from 1 species
GACGACGAGGGGUGGGGUGGAGGGUGCACCCCUCAGUGCGUCGUGUCGCAGGGCCCAGCACGCACCCCACUCUGUGUGUGUGUGUGUGUGUGGCUGUGGGGAAGCGAGCCAGCCCCCCAACCCCUAUACCCCUGCCAAGUGCCCCAGCCACCUCGGGUGGUGGCGGGGCCCAGCACCGAUGACGUAGGGGAGGUCAGAGCGAUGUAUCGCUGCUGAUGUCGCUGGUGAGGUUGUGGAGGGCGUGGCGCCGGAGCGGCCAGCGUGGCUCGAACACAUCUCCCCCCUCUCCCUCCCCCUCCGGGCCCCUCACUCUGCCCAGCGGUGCAGGGAGCCUGCGCCACUCUCAAGGAGGGUGCGGCUGUGUAGCGCUUGGGACGGAGGCCGUACCCAGGUGACUGUGUUGGCGCAGUGCUGUACCGCGUAUGCCUACCGCUGCCUCGCGCCAGGCCAUGUGGGCCGGUGUGACGGGGCCGGCUGGAGGGGCGUGGAGUGGCGUGCAGCUCGCGUUGCACGGGCAGAGCAAGGGGCACACGAGGAAAGAAAAAAGAAAGUGCGAACGUGCAAAACCCGAGGAGGAUGACAGCGACGUGCUCUGGGUGCACUUCUUUAAGGCACGCCCCCUUUUUAUCCUUUUGGUGAAGCAGCUGGGCGUUCACGCUUUCCUCGAUUCUCUUUCCUUGCAACUGUGCGGUCGGUGGUAUGCAGCAAACACGGGCAUGUGCCGCGUUGUGCCUGCCCUGCCACAGCCGCGAGAGCUCCCUCUUUCAGCGAUGUGAUUGUAACUGUUCAGCUAUGGCGCACCUUUGCGCGGACACGCUGUGCAACUACUCGUUCAUGCGCACCUGCUCCUCCACGGAUCGCACCAUGACCCUCCUCCUGUUUUGCUGAUGCUCGCACGCCGCGAGCACGCAUUCGUGCAGGCACG